UAUUGCAAAAAGGCUUCCGAUUCGUUGAAUAUCUGUUUUGGUAGAGUGCAAGGCGUUGAUUGGCUAAUUUGGACAUUACGACCCACUUUCAAUCCAUCUGGCUACAACUGUUGGCGUCUUUUCACAACUACAGCAAAGUAGAAAAACAGCCGAUACCCAAAUAAUCAGUUUGAUUCAGACUUUAUCGCUCAUAAUGGCAGCAACUAAGGGCAGAGGAAAGAAAACAGCUGGAGAUUCAGAAGCAGUUGCGAAAGCACCUGCCAAGAAAGCCCCCAAGAAGCCAGCAGAGAAGAAAACCAAGAAACCAGCUGGUGUCAAAAAAGCCAAAUCCAAGGCCAAGACAAAGAAGGCUGCCACCCCCAAGAAGUAGGGAGAAAUUUCACCAAGUCUGUCUUUGAUUCCUUUUUCAUUGUGCAUUUUAUAGUUUUCGAUAUUAAUGCAUACUGUUACCAAAAGUCUCAGAGGGGUUAUGAAUACACAUCUUAACAGUUUUUAAUGUGAUACAAAUUGAGUUUUGAAAACAUACAUAUUUUAGGGUAAGAGAAAUUAAAAAAAAAAAUUGCCAUGCAACGCUAGUGAGAAUAUGUUUCAGUUUUUUUUUUUUUUUUUCUGCAUAAAUCUACUCAGUAAUGAAUUUCAAAAUUAUCCCUUGUGUAUGCUGAUAGUCUCACUAAUGGAAGCCAUGUGUAGUAUAGACGUUUGACUCAUUAUCAUGUACACUUUUGCAUUUUUUUUUCUCUAACUGUUCAUUUGACCUAUUGUUUUUGAAUAGAUUGAUGAUAUAUCAUUUACUUAUCUGUUUUUAAGACAAUGUUUUGUGUGCAUGUGUAGAUUUGUUGUUGGGGCCAAUUUCAUUAGUUUUUUUUUUAAUUGAAAACUUUUUUUUUUUAACUAUAUAUGUUUGUAUGAUAUAUUUACAGGCAAAUUGUUUGAAAAUUUACAUUUUUAGUUUUUGCCUCAAUUUCAAAUGCAGGCUUUGGUUAGACAUAAACUUUGUUCUUAAUUACAGAUCAGUAUGUUAUAUCAUUUUUUUUAUAUAUAUAUAUGUAUACAUAAAUAUAUAUAUGAAUAAUCUGUCACUGUUGAUAUAACGUUUUAAUUUAAACUUCCACUAGUGUUACUCAUUUCACUUUUUUUUUUUGUUCUGUUUUCGGUCACUAUGCUGAUUAUCUUUUCGACAUGUUCCUGGUAGCUAGUUUUGAUGCCACUUUGUUUGGUUAUUGUCCUAGAAUAUUACAUCAUACAUUAUUCGGGUGUUUGUUUGAUCAAUCUCGGCACAUUAUUAGUGUCAGUAUAUCAGUUAUUAUCUGAAAAGUGUUUAUCUUUUGUGCUUAUUAUAACAAGGCAGGGAGUUGGUAUCUUUUUAAGGUGUUAUUUUGGGGUGUUGCUCAAUUGUAAUUUUUUUUUUUUUUUUUUUAAAGAUUUUGAAGCAAGUUAUUUAAAUUGUAUUUUUUUUAUAGGGAUGUCAAAACAGCUAAUCAAAUUCAAUAUACACGUUAACAAAUCAAUUUAUAUGACAAAUUAUCAAUUUAAAAAUAUUAUUCUUUUUUUUUCUUUUAUAUAUUGAUCUUUCCGUUUGAGUUGAGGCAAUACUAUUAAAAUAUUCAUGUCGUAA